CUGGCGGCGUGCCUAAUACAUGCAAGUCGAACGGUCUUUCUAUGGAAGCUUGCUUCCACUGAGAAGAUAGUGGCGAACGGGUGAGUAACACGUGGGUAACCUGCCCAUAAGAGGGGGAUAACAUCCGGAAACGGGUGCUAAUACCGCAUAGUUUUCUUGAUCGCAUGAUCGGGAAAGGAAAGACGGCCUUUGUGCUGUCGCUUAUGGAUGGACCCGCGGCGUAUUAGUUAGUUGGUGAGGUAAUGGCUCACCAAGACGAUGAUACGUAGCCGACCUGAGAGGGUGAUCGGCCACAUUGGGACUGAGACACGGCCCAAACUCCUACGGGAGGCAGCAGUAGGGAAUCUUCCGCAAUGGACGAAAGUCUGACGGAGCAACGCCGCGUGAGUGAAGAAGGUUUUUCGGAUCGUAAAACUCUGUUGUCAGAGAAGAACAAGUUGGAGAGUAACUGCUCCAGCCUUGACGGUAUCUGACCAGAAAGCCACGGCUAACUAUGUGCCAGCCGCGGC
rnacentral:rRNA from 1 species